rnacentral:rRNA from 1 species
AGAGUUUGAUCCUGGCUCAGAUUGAACACAUGCAAGUCGAACGGCAGCGCGGGGCAACCUGGCGGCGAGUGGCGAACGGGUGAGUAAUAUAUCGGAACGUACCCUGGAGUGGGGGAUAACGUAGCGAAAGUUACGCUAAUACCGCAUACGAUCUAAGGAUGAAAGUGGGGGCUCGCAAGACCUCAUGCUCCUGGAGCGGCCGAUAUCUGAUUAGCUAGUUGGUGGGGUAAAGGCCUACCAAGGCAUCGAUCAGUAGCUGGUCUGAGAGGACGACCAGCCACACUGGAACUGAGACACGGUCCAGACUCCUACGGGAGGCAGCAGUGGGGAAUUUUGGACAAUGGGCGCAAGCCUGAUCCAGCAAUGCCGCGUGAGUGAAGAAGGCCUUCGGGUUGUAAAGCUCUUUUGUCAGGGAAGAAACGGUGGGGGCUAAUAUCCCUUGCUAAUGACGGUACCUGAAGAAUAAGCACCGGCUAACUACGUGCCAGCAGCCGCGGUAAUAC